CCCGGAGCUGGGAACGGCUCAACCAGAACCAGAGCACAUGACGUGAGAAUAGAGGAAAGAUGGCUCCCCAAGGAAAUGUGGAAUACUGUUAUAGAAAGCAAAGGGAAUGGAUGCCAAGUGUCAGUCUGCAAAAAUCCUAAUUCUAGCAGACAUUUAUCCACUACCCAACAGAGUUUUCCUGCAGGAGAACAGUGCUGUCCCGGAAGGAAAUGAGCCGGCACAGACACGCCCCAGUGCAGGAGACUCACCAGCGCAGCCACCAAGCUGUCCUGGAAGGAAGCCGGCUCGGCAACCUGACAUUGACAAACCGCUCGCCAGUGUUUCCAAAGAUUCCCAGAGCUCGUGUUUUCCACUUACACGAUUCAAUUAGGAAUCCCAAAACGUGUAAAUCUUGGCAUUCUAUGGCUCCAUUAAAGAAACAAAGUAUUAAAUGCAGACA
rnacentral:lncRNA from 1 species